GAUGAACGCUGGCGGCGUGCCUAACACAUGCAAGUCGAACGGAGUCCAGCCUUUAAGACCUUCGGGUCAAAGAGGGGAAGACUGAGUGGCGGACGGGUGAGUAACACGUGGGCAACCUGGCUCAUAGAGGGGGAUAACAGAGAGAAAUUUCUGCUAAUACCGCAUAAGCACACACUGCCGCAUGGCAGAGGGUGAAAAGAGAAUCGCUAUGAGAUGGACCCGCGUCUGAUUAGCCAGUUGGCAGGGUAAGAGCCUACCAAAGCGACGAUCAGUAGCCGAUCUGAGAGGAUGAACGGCCACAUUGGGACUGAGACACGGCCCAAACUCCUACGGGAGGUAGCAGUGGGGGAUAUUGCACAAUGGGGGGAACCCUGAUGCAGCGACGCCGCGUGAGUGAAGAAGUAUUUCGGUAUGUAAAGCUCUAUCAGCAGGGAAGAUAAUGACAGUACCUGAAUAAGAAGCCCCGGCUAACUACGUG
rnacentral:rRNA from 1 species